rnacentral:rRNA from 1 species
GACGAACGCUGGCGGCGUGCCUAAUACAUGCAAGUCGAGCGAAGUGGGGACGGGUGAGUAACACGUGGAUAACCUCCUAUAAGACUGGGAUAACUACGGGAAAUCGGAGCUAAACUGAAAACUUAUAGAUGGUUCCGCUCUGCAUUAGCUAGUGGUUAAGGUAACGGCUUAGCAAGGCAACGAUGCAUAGCCGACCUGAGAGGGUGAUCGGCAACACUGGAACUGAGACACGGUCCAGACUCCUACGGAAGGCAGCAGUAGGGAAUCUUCCGCAAUGGGCGAAGGCCUGACGGAGCAAGGCCGCGGGAGGGAUGAGGGUCUUCGGAUCGUAAAACUCUUUUAUUGGGGCAGCGGUACCGAAUCAGAAAGCCACGGCUAACUACGUGCCAGCAGCCGCGGUAAUAC